rnacentral:rRNA from 1 species
CCCGCUGAACUUAAGCAUAUCAAUAAGCGGAGGAAAAGAAACUAACAAGGAUUCCCCUAGUAACUGCGAGUGAAGCGGGAAGAGCUCAAAUUUAAAAUCUGGCGGUCUCGCGGCCGUCCGAGUUGUAAUCUGGAGAAGCGUUUUCCGCGUCGGACCGUGUACAAGUCUUCUGGAACGGAGCGUCGUAGAGGGUGAGAAUCCCGUCUCUGACACGGACAGCCGAUGCUUCAUGUGAUACGCUCUCGAAGAGUCGAGUUGUUUGGGAAUGCAGCUCAAAAUGGGUGGUAAAUUCCAUCUAAAGCUAAAUAUUGGCGAGAGACCGAUAGCGAACAAGUACCGUGAGGGAAAGAUGAAAAGAACUUUGGAAAGAGAGUUAAACAGUACGUGAAAUUGUUGAAAGGGAAACGCUUGAAGUCAGUCGCGUUGGCCAGGAAUCAACCUUGCUUUUGCUUGGCGUACUUUCUGGUUAAUGGGUCAGCAUCAAUUUUGACCGGUGGAUAAAGGUCAGGGGAAUGUGGCAUCUUCGGAUGUGUUAUAGCCUCUGGUCGCAUACAUCGGUUGGGAUUGAGGAACUCAGCACGCCGCAAGGCCGGGUUUUUAACCACGUACGUGCUUAGGAUGCUGGCAUAAUGGCUUUAAUCGACCCGUCUUGAAACACGG